rnacentral:lncRNA from 1 species
CUUCUAAUAUUUGGUCUUUAACCCCGGUUCCUGACACAGAGAUCCUAAAUUCCUUGAAAUGUUCUAGGUGACAGUAGUGUCUUUUGUCAAAUGAGAUGACUGUUGGUGGGCCCCUGGAUGGGGGCUGCUCACCAGAAAUGUAUGAUACUGCUGUGGUUAGACGCUUGGAACUUUCAGCCCUACCCCCUAUCCUCCAGGAGGGGAAGAGGGCCUGGAGAUGGAGUUAAUAAUUGGUUAUGCCUAUGUGAUGAAACCUCCAUAAAAAUCCCUGACAUAUGGGGUUUGGAGAGCUUCUGGGUUGGUGAAUACAUCCACAUGCUGGGAGGGCGGUGUACCCAAACCGUAACGGGACAGCAGCCCCUGCACGCAGGACCCUUCUCCACCUCACCCUGUACACCUCUUCAUCUUGCUGCUCCUCUGUCUCCUUUAUUAUAUGGUAAACCAGCAAACAUCAGUGUUUCCCUGAGUUCUGUGAGCGGUUUUAGCAAAUUGUCAAACCUGAGGGGAGUUGUGAGAACCUCUGAUGUGUAGCCAAGUCAGACAGAAGUGUGGGUAACCUGGGGACCCACCUGUGAUUGGCGUCUGAGUGGAGGGCGGUCUCGUGGCCUGAUCCCUCAAUGUGGGGGAUCUGCACCAACUCCAGGUAGGCAGUAUCAGAAUUGCUUGGUAUGGGAAACCCACACAUUUGGUGUCAGAAGUAUUGACUACAGAUGGAAAAACAGCUUUUUCUUAGUACCAUGCUAUACCCGUUUGCUGUUGUGAUAAAAGAGGAAUAGACUUUAGAAGAUAUCUCUCUAUUUAUUCAUAAAGCCAUUCUGUAUUCUCAAGUAACAAAAUUAGGAUUUUCUUUAAUAUUUUAUGAGAUUUUUUUCUUUUCUUACUUGUCUUUAAAAUAGUAUUGCAAACAGGAGCAGAUUCUUCAUCUGGCUAUCACAGCAUGGCUAUUUUAGUGGGCUACAACAUAAACCCACACACAUACACACACACAUACACUCACACAGAGUUGCAAACAUAUAUGGGACAGUGGAAAGAAAUAUGAAACAGCUCUUAAAGCCACUAAUAAAUAUUUUAAAACAGUAGUCUUAAACACUAACAGACCAUUAGGGUAUUAUUUAUAGAUUAAUAAUCUCUGCAUGAGACUAUUUCAUUCAGAGGCUCUGUGAUGAGUGUAUUUGGGCUGGCCUGGGUAUUGAAUGAUGAGAUUGAUAUAUUUAUUAUUUUCUUUCCAGCUGAUAUAACUUCUAAAAUAAAUCAUUCAUACAGUUGGUGACUCAUACAAUCCAUUUCAGUAUGCUCAGCUACAUGUUAGGAGAUUUUUAUUUAAUUUAAGCAUUUUCAUUAUUGUAGAUUUUUAUUGUUCACUGUUUACUUUUAAGUCUUGGGCACUUGCUAUAAUAAGGUUACUUGUCAGAGACUGCAGAUAAAGAACAGCAAUUCAACAAUUAAAAGGCAACCAAGAAUGCAAUCUGUCGAGUAGCAAAAAAAAAAAAAAAAAAAAA